rnacentral:tRNA from 1 species
CGGGCUGUAGCGCAGCUUGGAAGCGCACUGCCUUUGGGUGGCAGGGGUCGUCGGUUCAAAUCCGUCCAGCCCGA